CCGGGUUAAAACCACAGUCCAGUAUCCCGCUCCCCGUCAACCUACUGCAGCCCCGGGUCACAUUCACGCUGGGGAGCCCGAGAGAAGACCCCCCAACAUCCCCUCCCUGGGCCAGAUGUUGCACCGGCAGCUGCUUCUACCGCCGACAGCCCAGUCCUUAGGCAGCAGCCGUUGGGUCUGACUUGCAAUCUUGUACUUCAGCGGAGAAGGGACUACACUGUGUCCUGUGGUGAUCCCUGCUCUCAGACAGAACAAGGUGCCCCUGUUAACCCGCCUCAGAGAACGACAAGUAUCUUGACCGGUUGCAUCAUGGUCUGGUACGGGUGAUUCCAACGCACAGGAGCGCAAGAGGCUGCAGAGAAUGGUGGACACAUCCCUCCCCACCAUCGGGAGUAUCUACAGGAGGCGCUGCCUCAGGAAGGCAACGUCCAUCAUCAAAGAUCCCCACCAUCCGGGCCGUGCCGUCUCCUCGCAGCUCCCAUCGGGCAGGAGGUACAGAAGCCUGAAGUCCCCACACCACCAGGUUCUUGAACCAACCUGCACAACCCCAACCCUACCUCAGCAACAGAACACUACAGACCACCUCUCGCACUGCCGUGGACUUGUCUCGGAUUGUGUCUUCGUUGUUUGCACCAAGGUCCUGUUCCUGCAAUCUUUUCUCCCCCUCUGUCUUGUAUAAUUUAUGUUCUGUGUGUUAUGUUAUGUUCUGUGCACCUGUGCAAGUCUCCCGUUGUACCUGCACCUCACUGGACUGGUGCACAGGACAAUAAACUCGACUCGACUUGACCUUUCAGCCUUUGUCUGACCAGCACAUCUCUGACCAGGCCGUGCAAUUGUACAGGGCCUUGGUGAGACUGCAGUUUUGGUCUCCUCACCGUUUCUACUUGCCACAGAGGGAGUGCGGCGAAGAUCCACCAGAAGGUCCA